rnacentral:rRNA from 1 species
UACGAAGGGGACUAGCGUUGUUCGGAAUCACUGGGCGUAAAGCGCACGUAGGCGGAUCUUUAAGUCAGAGGUGAAAUCCCAAGGCUCAACCUUGGAACUGCCUUUGAUACUGGGGAUCUUGAGUCCGGGAGAGGUGAGUGGAACUGCGAGUGUAGAGGUGAAAUUCGUAGAUAUUCGGAAGAACACCAGUGGCGAAGGCGACACACUGGCCCGUUACUGACGCUGAGGCGCGAAAGCGUGGGGAGCAAACAGG